CCGAUCUUAAAAUAAAUCAAUAUUGAUUUUUUUUAUAGAGCAUUAAAGUUUUGCGAAGCCAGGGGGCGGGACUACUUGAUUGACAGUCUGGUCUGGAAUGAUUGACAGGUCCUAUGGAGGAGGCAGCAGAGACUCUGUUCUCCUCCUUUGGAUUAAUUCUGAUAUAAUAACUGUUGGUUUAUUUAUCGGUGGAGCAGCAGAACAUUUUCCACAGACAGUUUUCCUGCCCGUUGGCUUGUUUUAACCAGUUUUCUACCUUCGGCUGAUUCUAUCAACAGACACUGAAAGGACUCUGAUAGUUCGAGUGAAAGCAGCAACUCCUUAAGGUCAGAGAUUGCAGCAUCUGAGGGCCUCUUCAAAAGAAGAUGUAGUUGAUGAAGGCGUUCUGGAGCAGGACCAGAAAGACCACGACCAAGCAGCCUUGAGAUCUUAGGCAGCAUCUCCCUGAGACCAAAGAACUACAGACUCUUCACAACCUGCUCAAACUCUUGGUACAGGACCUCACCACACGGGUCAAGAAGGUUUCCAUCUCAUUUCUACUCUGAAGCUCACCUUCUCCUGCUCAAACUGCUGACAAAUGUUUCUGCUGCUCUAAAGUCUGGUCUCCAGAACUUCCUAAAAACUCUCAAAGUCUCUUCUGCUGCAGGUUGCUUUGUAGAACUGUUCCAGAAAACCUCACUAAACCACAUGGAGGGGCCUCAAGAUAGUCGUCCAAAUGAAACCAUACAAAAACCAAACUAGCACAACCCAAACGCUAAAGUCUCCUGCAGCCUACCAGAGAAGCUCUGAGAACAGAGAAUCAGGACAGGAACUCUUACCUUCUGGACAACCAAUGCUGGUUCACAAACAAGAAUACAGAAUGUGUCUGACCAAAAACCUCUGAAGACUCACUACAGCCAAGAUAAAGACACAACUCAGCUGCACCAAAUCCACUAAUCACUGCACACAUAAGAACCAUGUGGUAACUGUGGCUAAAGAACCACAUUUACCAAGACAACUAUCCAGUACAAAGCCCUAAAACACACCAAGAAACACAUUAAAGACAAUUUUACUGCUGGAAGCUGCAAGCCAACGCCUAAAAAACAAACUAAAGCAAUGGAGCCAAACCCGGUUCACUGGUGGAGAGAAGCAGAGGAAAUGUUUGUCUGCAGCUAAAUAAAGCAGGAAGACACUGAGCUGCUCAGGUGUUCCUGAUAACACCUAGCAGCCACCUGGACAGCCAAUAAGAACACAGCUUCCUGGAAGUCCAGAGGGCUGGGUUAGUGAAGGAAAUUUAGUUUAAUAUAGUUGAGGCAGAAAGUUAACAAAGAAAGUUGAAAACCACCUUCUGAUACCCGAAAUCUUUGUUUUCACACAAAGAACGCCUGAACAUGUUAAACUGGUUUCAUAGUAGAACCAUCAUUGUAAAAACGUCAUAGUAUGGUGUGUUGCUCAAAAAACAUUACGACCCGGCUGUCUGGGGUCGCCGAGGAGCAACACAAAAACAGGACAAAUGCUGGUUUCCAGGGGGUUAGGCAGCUAUUUAUUUGAAAGAGUAUGUUUACAACAACACAUGUGAGCAGAAAAAUCACAGUCUGUCUUUCGUUCAGCUGAAAAUAUUAGUUUUUGUCUUUUUUUAUUGACCAAACUUUUCAGGAAGUAGAUGAAGAAUAAUUAAAGCUCUCAUGUAGAAGUCCAACUUAUUUUGGAUCCUUGUGGAGAGUUUAAUCUUAGAGUUUGUACAGCUGUUGAGUUUUUAGAGUCACAUGGAUUGUUUUGACAUUUAAUAACUGAUUCCUAAAAUAAAAUUACAGUUGUGGAUUUCUGUCAUUUAGUCUGGACUAAACAAAUAACAGCAGCAUAAAUCUCAAACAUCAUUAUGAGGAGUCUGGAUUGAGGUUUCUCACUUGAUAAUGAUCAAAACAUGAAAUUUAGGUUGGUUUAAAGGAAUAUUGCACCUUAAAUCUUUGAAUGUUGACCUAAAAGGAAGUAUUCCACCUACAAGGUCCUCAAACAUCCACCUUAAAGGAACAUUCCACCAAAAACCCUUGGACAUGCACCUAAAACGUUGGUUUAACCGAGUAUUCCAUCCAAAAUCCUCAAAGAGACCUGAGGGGCUGGUUAAAAGGAAUAUUCCACCUAAAACCUUGAAUAUAGACCUGAAAGGGUGGUUUAGAAAAAAUCCUUCAGUGUAGACCAAAAAAGUUAGUAUGGAGGAAUAUUCCACCUGAAAUGUAGACCUGAGAAGUUGGUUCGGAAGAAUAUACCAUCCUAAACAUCCUUAAAUGUAGACUAAAAGACAGUUUGGAAGAGAAUUCCACCUAAAAUCCUCCAAUGUAGACCUAAAAGGUAAGUUUAAUGGUAUAUUCCACCUAAAAUUCACUACUGUAGACCUUGGAGGUUGGUCUGAUGGUAUAUUCCACCCAACAUCCUUGAACAUAAACUUAAAAAGUUCGUUCAAAGGAAUAUUUCACCUAAAAUCUUUCAAUGCAGACCAAAAAAUCUUGGUGUAAAGGAGUAUUCCACCUUAAAUGUAGACCUAAAGGAUGGUUUGGAGUAAUAUUCUACUCUAAAAUCUUCCAAUGUAGACCUAAAAGGUUGAUCUGAUGGUAUAUUCUACUCAACAUCCUGGAACGUUUACCUAAAAGGUUGGUUUAAUGGUAUAUUCCCAGAAGAACCCUUGAACAUCAGGCUUAAUGGUAUAUUCCACCCAAAAUACUUGUACAUAUACCAAGAAGUCAGUGUAAAGGAAAUGUAGACCUAAAAGGAUUGUUUAAAGGAAUAUUUAAACGAUUAUUUUCAUUAUUUAAUAAUCUGUUAUCAGUCAGAACCCUGGCAAACUUAUUUUCAUCAGUUUUUUUUAGUGGAAGUCACAAAUAAAGGAGCUCUUGGUUUUUCCUGGC